ACGAACGCUGGCGGCGUGCUUAACCCAUGCAAGUCGAACGGAAAGGCCCUGCUUUUGUGGGGUGCUCGAGUGGCGAACGGGUGAGUAACACGUGAGUAACCUGCCCUUGAUUUUGGGAUAACUUCAGGAAACUGGGGCUAAUACCGGAUAGGAGCUCCUGCUGCAUGGUGGGGGUUGGAAAGUUUCGGCGGUUGGGGAUGGACUCGCGGCUUAUCAGCUUGUUGGUGGGGUAGUGGCUUACCAAGGCUUUGACGGGUAGCCGGCCUGAGAGGGUGACCGGCCACAUUGGGACUGAGAUACGGCCCAGACUCCUACGGGAGGCAGCAGUGGGGAAUAUUGCACAAUGGGCGGAAGCCUGAUGCAGCAACGCCGCGUGCGGGAUGACGGCCUUCGGGUUGUAAACCGCUUUCGCCUGUGACGAAGCGUGAGUGGCGGUAAUGGGUAAAGAAGCACCGGCUAACUACGUG
rnacentral:rRNA from 1 species